UGCAAUCCCAGCUUCUCAUGUUCCUUCUCCUACAGAAAACCAAAUUCCAAUGCAAGGGAGAUCUUGUCCUCCUAGAGAAACCUGUCCUUGUCAAACUGACCCACAGAUGCAAAAUUCAACUAGAGGCCUGUUUCCUCUAAGAGAAGUACCUGAAAUAGGACGGAAUGGGGAUGUGGUGACUUUAAGACAUAGGAUACCGUUUACUCCCCAAGAAAUAAAUGAAUUUACACGAAAUAUCCCCACAUAUGAACAAGAUCCUUUUCUAGUAACAAAAAAGAUGGGAGACAUAUUUUUUCAGUAUAAUCUGUCUUACAAGGACGUUGAGAACUUACUACAGGCUUUUUUAAGUGAACGUGAAAAAAAUAAAAUAAUUGCUCAUGUCAACAAAACCCGGGGGCGUAAUGCAGCACAUUGGCCAUCUCAGGAUCCCGAAUGGGACUAUAACAAUCCUGAGGAUUAUCUACAACUAUACCGUUGUAGAGAGGCCAUCCUCACGGCUAUGAAGGAAUGUGCAGCCAGUACAGAUAAGUGGAUGGAACUGGAAAAAAUUAAGCAAAAGGAAGAAGAAGCACCCUCCAGAUUUAUGGACAGAAUUAUCGAGUUUGGGGACAGAUACUUAGAUUGGGACUUAACUAAAGAGAGUAGUUUAAGACAAGUUAGAAGAAUCUUUGUAAACAAUUCUUGCAAAGCAAUUAAGAAUUAUUUUAGAACACAAUGCCCAAGAUGGUCAGAUAUGGACCUUGAAGAAUUGCGAAAAACAGCUAUAUAUGUUUUAAAGGGAAACAAGGAAAAGAAGGAAGAAAAUAAUGAUGACAUAGAGGAAAUAAAGAAAAAAAUGAGAUAUUUAAUAGAUAGGAUGACUAAAUUAGAAAGUGGGCAUGAUAAUGAACCAAUGACAAUUGCCCCUCUCCAGAAAUCCAAUUAUCAAUCCAUUACUUGCCACUUCUGUGGGAAGAAGGGCCACAAUAUGAUGGAAUGUAGAACCUUUCUUAAGAUGUUUGGAAGGAAUACACAGUUUAAUAAUAGUUUUAGAAAUAAUAACUAUAGAAAUGAUGAUAAUGGUUAUAGAAACCAGAAUUCUAGAAAUUAUAAUAAUGACUAUGGAAAUAACUAUAAUGAAUAUAGAAAUAAGAACUUUAGAAACCAG
rnacentral:lncRNA from 1 species